CCGGCAGCGCCGCCCCUGUUCUCGAGUUCUCCACUCGCCGCACGCGACCCAAGCGGCCAAGCAACGAACCGCCUCCUGAUCGGCACCGCACGGCGGCUAGGGUCCAGAGCUGCCGUCGCUUGAUCGGCGAUCGGUUGCAGGUGGCGGGUAGCAGGAUUGCAGGAAUCAAUCUAAUUUCAAAGCCACAACUCGAAUUCAACUAUCGAAGUGUCGAACUGAAUUCAGGCAGCUAGGCAGCGCUUUUGCUCUCAUAUUGUCCAGGCAGUAGGCUGCAGUACAGAAGUGCAAGACUAAGU